UACGGGGGGAGCAAGCGUUGUUCGGAUUUACUGGGCGUAAAGGGCGCGUAGGCGGCCACCGCAAGUCGGUUGUGAAAUCUCUGGGCUUAACCCAGAAAGGUCAACCGAUACUGCGGGGCUAGAGUGCAGAAGGGGCAACUGGAAUGCCUGGUGUAGUGGUGAAAUGCGUAGAGAUCAGGCGGAACACCCGUGGCGAAGGCGGCCGGCUGGGCCGUCCCUGACGCUGAGGCGCGAAGGCGUGGGGAGCGAACGGG
rnacentral:rRNA from 1 species